rnacentral:lncRNA from 1 species
AUUAAAUCUUAACCCCUAAUAAUUCCUAAACCCUAAGUCAAAUCUUAAAUAAAUCUUAAAUUAAACCCUAUUCCAAACCCUAAAUCCUAAACCAAACUCUAAAUCAAACCCUAAUCCAAUCCUAAAUCCUAAACCAAACCUUAAAUCAAACCCUAACCAAAUCCUAAUCCAAACCCUAAAUCAAACCCUAACCAAAUCCUAAAUCCUAAUCCAAAUCCUAAUUCAAAUCCUAAUCCAGCCCUAAACUCUAAUCCAAAUUCUAAACCCUAAACCAAACCUUAAAUCAAACCCUAACCAAAAUCUAAUCCAUAUCCUAAUCCAAAUCCUAAAUCAAACCCUAACCAAAUCCUAAACCCUAAUCCAAACCCUAAUCGAAAUCCUAAACCGAA